rnacentral:rRNA from 1 species
AUGGGAACGCGAAGAACCUUACCUAGACUUGACAUCCCCUGAAUAACGUAGAGAUACGCGAAGCCCUUCGGGGCAGGGAGACAGGUGGUGCAUGGUUGUCGUCAGCUCGUGUCGUGAGAUGUUGGGUUAAGUCCCGCAACGAGCGCAACCCUUAUCAUUAGUUGCUACCAUUUAGUUGAGCACUCUAGUGAGACUGCCCGGGUUAACCGGGAGGAAGGCGGGGAUGACGUCAAAUCAUCAUGCCCCUUAUGUCUAGGGCAACACACGUGCUACAAUGGUGAGUACAGAUAGAUGCGAUACCGCAAGGUGGAGCCAAACUCUAAAACUCAUCCCAGUUCGGAUUGUAGGCUGCAACUCGCCUACAUGAAGUUGGAGUUGCUAGUAAUCGCGAAUCAGAAUGUCGCGGUGAAUACGUUCCCGGGUCUUGUACACACCG